GCAGCGUCGCCGGAGCUGUCCAUCCGCUGAGGCCAGUCUGUAAGCACGGCUGGGACCUGCCGACUCACGACCCCGUGCAGACCUGCUUUGAGCCCGCUCAGCAGUCUCUUCUUGGGGUUGUUCUCACUUGUAACCCCACUGUCGGCCAUCUGCAGGACUCCUCUCCGUCACGUCCAACAGGCAUGGCUGCAGGGGCCCCUCAGUGACAACAGGGGGGCUGACAGAGGUCAGCUGUCUGAUGUCUGCCACCCAUCCCCCACCAUCGCAGGACUGCAUACCCAAGCAGCCAGCUGAAGAUGCCCAGGCCGUGCUGCAUGCACCGCCUGCAUUCUCCCUUCCACGGCCAUCAUGCCAGUGAGCGUGUCCUGACAUCUUCGUUCUGACGACGUGACGUCCCGCAGAGCCAUGCACAGGGCGACCCCCCGGUGCUCACCUUGGUGGC